rnacentral:rRNA from 1 species
UACAGAGGGGGCAAGCGUUGUUCGGAAUUACUGGGCGUAAAGGGCGCGUAGGCGGCCCGCUAAGUCGAACGUGAAAUCCCCGAGCUCAACUCGGGAACUGCGUCCGAUACUGGCGGGCUUGAAUCCGGGAGAGGGAUGCGGAAUUCCAGGUGUAGCGGUGAAAUGCGUAGAUAUCGGGAGGAACACCUGUGGCGAAAGCGGCUCUCUGGACCACAACUGACGCUGAGGCGCGAAAGCUAGGGGAGCAAACAGG